ACGCUAGCGGCAGGCCUAACACAUGCAAGUCGAGGGAGAAGCCUUCGGGCUGAAACCGGCGUACGGGUGCGUAACGCGUAUACAAUCUGCCUUUCACAUAGGGAUAGCCCGAAGAAAUUUGGAUUAAUACCUAAUGGUAUAUAGGAGCGGCAUCGUUUUUAUAUUAAAGCUACGGUGGUGAAAGAUGAGUAUGCGUUCUAUUAGCUAGUUGGAGAGGUAACGGCUCCCCAAGGCGACGAUAGAUAGGGGUUCUGAGAGGGAUGUCCCCCACACUGGUACUGAGAUACGGACCAGACUCCUACGGGAGGCAGCAGUGAGGAAUAUUGGACAAUGGUCGGAAGACUGAUCCAGCCAUGCCGCGUGCAGGAUGAAGGUCCUAUGGAUUGUAAACUGCUUUUGUAAGGGAAGAAUAAGGGGUACGUGUACUUUGAUGACGGUACCUUACGAAUAAGCAUCGGCUAACUCCGUGCCAGCAGCCGCGGUAAUACGGAGGAUGCGAGCGUUAUCCGGAAUCAUUGGGUUUAAAGGGUCCGUAGGCGGGCUAAUAAGUCAGAGGUGAAAGCGUUCAGCUCAACUGGGCAACUGCCUUUGAAACUGUUAGUCUUGAAUGAUUGUGAAGUAGUUGGAAUGUGUAGUGUAGCGGUGAAAUGCUUAGAUAUUACACAGAACACCGAUAGCGAAGGCAUAUUACUAACAAUUUAUUGACGCUGAUGGACGAAAGCGUGGGGAGCGAACAGGAUUAGAUACCCUGGUAGUCCACGCUGUAAACGAUGGAUACUAGCUGUUUGGAGCAAUCUGAGUGGCUAAGCGAAAGUGAUAAGUAUCCCACCUGGGAGUACGC
rnacentral:rRNA from 1 species